rnacentral:rRNA from 1 species
AUUGAACGCUGGCGGCAGGCUUAACACAUGCAAGUCGAGCGGGGUGAUGGUGCUUGCACUAUCACUUAGCGGCGGACGGGUGAGUAAUGCUUAGGAAUCUGCCUAUUAGUGGGGGACAACAUCUCGAAAGGGAUGCUAAUACCGCAUACGUCCUACGGGAGAAAGCAGGGGAUCACUUGUGACCUUGCGCUAAUAGAUGAGCCUAAGUCGGAUUAGCUAGUUGGUGGGGUAAAGGCCUACCAAGGCGACGAUCUGUAGCGGGUCUGAGAGGAGGAUCCGCCACACUGGGACUGGGACACGGCCCAGACUCCUACGGGAGGCAGCAGUGGGGAAUAUUGGACAAUGGGGGGAACCCUGAUCCAGCCAUGCCGCGUGUGUGAAGAAGGCCUUAUGGUUGUAAAGCACUUUAAGCGAGGAGGAGGCUACUCUAGUUAAUACCAAGGGAUAGUGGACGUUACUCGCAGAAUAAGCACCGGCUAACUCUGUGCCAGCCGCCGCCGUAA